rnacentral:rRNA from 1 species
GAUGAAACGCUGGCGGCGUGCCUAACACAUGCAAGUCGAACGAAAGCACCAUGACGGAUCCCUCCGGGGUGAAGACGUGGUGACUGAGUGGCGGACGGGUGAGUAAACGCGUGGGUAACCUGCCCUGUACAGGGGGGAUAACAGCUGGAAACGGCUGCUAAUACCGCAUAAGCGCACAGGAAGACAUCUUCCGGUGUGAAAAAACUCCGGUGGUACAGGAUGGGGCCCGCGUCUGAUUAGCUUGUUGGCGGGGGUAACGGCCCACCAAGGCGACGAUCAGUAGCCGGUCUGAGAGGAUGAACGGCCACAUU